rnacentral:ribozyme from 1 species
UGCACUCAAAAGCUGGCCUUCACGUGGCGAGUGUGUUAAGUAAUAGGUCUAAAAAAAUCUUCCAGUUUUACCUAUGAAAACUAACAGCUA